rnacentral:rRNA from 1 species
AUACGGAGGAUGCGAGCGUUAUCCGGAUUUAUUGGGUUUAAAGGGUGCGUAGGCGGCGCGAAAAGUCAGCGGUCAAAGUUCCGGGCUCAACCCGGUGACGCCGUUGAAACUUUCGGGCUGGAGUUCGUGCGAGGGAGGCGGAAUGCGUUGUGUAGCGGUGAAAUGCAUAGAUAUGACGCAGAACCCCGAUUGCGAAGGCAGCUUUCCAGCACGCGACUGACGCUGAGGCACGAAAGCGUGGGGAGCGAACAGGAUUAGAUACCCUGGUAGUCCACGCGGUAAACGAUGAAUACUAGCCCUGCGGCGCGAAUGAGUGCUGCGGGGCAGAGUGAAAACGUUAAGUAUUCCACCUGGGGAGUACGCCGGCAACGGUGAAACUCAAAUGAAUUGGCGGGG